rnacentral:rRNA from 1 species
UCAAACGAGAGUUUGAUCCUGGCUCAGAAUCAACGCUGGCGGCGUGCCUAACACAUGCAAGUCGCACGAGAAAGCGGACUUCGGUCUGUGAGUACAGUGGCGCACGGGUGAGUAACACGUGACUAACCUACCUCCGAGUGGGGAAUAACCUAGGGAAACCUGGGCUAAUACCGCAUAACACUCAAGAGUCAAAGCAGCAAUGCGCUUGGAGAGGGGGUCGCGGCAGAUUAGCUAGUUGGUGGGGUAAUGGCCCACCAAGGCGAUGAUCUGUAUCCGGCCUGAGAGGGCGCACGGACACACUGGAACUGAAACACGGUCCAGACUCCUACGGGAGGCAGCAGUGGGGAAUUUUGCGCAAUGGGGGAAACCCUGACGCAGCAACGCC